rnacentral:pre_miRNA from 1 species
GAAAACUUGGAAACUACCGUUAGAUCGAGAAAUGGAUGUCCGAGAUUCGUCCACGUCACCAUGAGUUAAAAUUUAACUCGUAGAUUCACUCAUGAGUUAGUUAAAUUUUAACUCAUGGUGACGUGGACGAAUCUCGGACAUCCAUUUCUCGAUCUAACGGUAGUUAGAUUUUAACUCAUGGUGACGUGGAUGAAUCUCGGACGUCUAUUUCUCGUUCCAACGGUAGUUUCCAAGUUUUC